CAUCACUCUCUUUACAUCGGCCCCUCUUCGCUGAUUUUCUUCGCUCCGCGCUGCCCACCGCCCCUGCCAUCAAGGGAACCAGGGGAGCCAGGACUUGGCUGCUCCAGCCCCACGGGGCCGCCCCUCAGACACAGUUGGCCACUUAGUGGAUGUGCCGUUGACCGUUGGCUAAUGAAAGAAUGAGCUGGAAUGAGUGGGGAUGCCCUUUGCAGCCAGCCCCGCUGCACAGGCGGGCUCAGGAGCCGUCUCUGCACCUGCCUGGCGGGCUGGGCCUGGCCCUUCUUCCUCCCGCCGUGGGCUUGCAUGUCCCCGAGCAGCGGGCACGUCCAGCGUCUGGGACGUCUUGGAGCCCGGCGUCUAGGCCCCCCGAGCCCUCCCGAGUCCUCCGUCACGUGAAGGGAGCCUCAAGUGAUGCCUUCAGCAGCUGCAACAAGUAGCUCCACAGCUUCUCCAUUUGCAGCUACUUUCACAUCCUGUCUCACGCAAGCCCUGCUCGGGAGGCACCAUUCCCCCAAUUUCGGAAGAAAUUAAGGUUCCGAGACAUGGGCGAUGCGCCCAGAGAACCACAGUUCUGCCGAAGGAGGCCAGGAUUGAAGUCCACAUUUGACGCCCACCGCGGCGCUUCCUCCACGGGGCCACUGAGCACUCCCCCUGCCCCCUCAGGGGUGCUCCCGGCAGCCAGAGCCCGCCAGCGAUGGAAGGCCCCACACACACCUCACAGACCACCCCUUCCCCCGCCCCAAGGAGGCAGGAGAGCCUAGGGGGUCCCUCCAGGCAGGUGAAGAAGGUACCAGGCUUGAGCUGGCUCGCCUCCAAACACAGGUGGCAUCCUCAUGCCACACCCACACCCCAGGUGCCACCAUUCCAGGUGCCCCCAUCUCUCCCGAGCCCUCUUCUCCUCGCACCUAAUCCAGGCCACCGCCUCCACCGUCUCUCAUUUAUGCUCUUGUGACAGCCUCCAGGCCAGACCCUCAGAUCUGCCCUCUGCCCAAAGCGAUCUUCCCCAAACUCAGAUCCUACAUCCCUCUCCAGAGACUUCCCCGCUCCCCACCUGAACCCUCUGUCACUGCCCUUAAAGUAGUCAGUAAACGGGUGUCGCUGGUAAGAAUGCACACCGAGUCCAAACCCUGGCCCUGCUGCUUCCUAGCUGUGUGGCCCUGAGCAAGUCACCUAAUCUCUCUGCGCCUCAACCCGCCUAAUCUAUGCAAGCGGCAUAAUCACCAUGUCGCACCCCCACAGGUCGCUGUAAGGAUGAAAUGAGUAGAGAUGUAUAAGGCACCCCAAAACAGUGCCCAGAAUCUGAAAGGCACAGAUGUCAGAGCCAGUUCUCGUUAACGAUGGGGUUUGGUAGUGAUUUGAUUUGUGUUGCUCCGCGAGGAUGGGGUGGCUCUGCAGAGGCUUCGCUGAAGCCACCCAAGGCCCUGGCUGCCUGCAGCCUCCAUGCUAUUUUCCCCGUCCUGGCUGAGUGUGGGCCCCGGGGUGCGGGCCCCGGGGUGGGGAGAAGAGGAUGCCCUCAGCAGGAGAUGCUGUCAGCCGCGAGUUCCAGCCCCGAUGGACAUGGCAGGCGGCAGCCAGAGAGGACGGCUGCCCGUGGAGGGUGCGGACGGGCUGCACCCUCCAGAGCCCCAAGUUCCCUGGGAGCCCCCACGGGGCCGCAGCUCCCUUUGUGCAGAGGUCAGGAGCAGCUGGCCAGCUGCGGGGGAGUUCCGCUGCCCUGCUCCGGCCGGCAGCCCAGAUGUGCGUGUUUGCACAGCCGAGUCCGGGCUCAGAAGGAGCCUUGUUGGGCAUCAUGAAAGGGGGCUUGUGUGAGGCAGACGGCCUCUGCGCCCCGGCCUGCCUGCCUCCAGGACAGCAAGCAGGAAUGCAGCCCGCAGGAAGCCCUUCCUACAGGGCCUGCCAAGUGCCCUUCUCCUGCCUGAGAGGUCAGGGCCACUGCCAGGAGCGCGUUCAGUUUGCCAAGUGCAGACUAGAUGCCCGGGUCCUGGUCCUUCCUCAGUUUCCUCCUAUGGAAGCCAGGGGAGGCCCCAAUCUCUCCCUCCACUCAGGGCGGGGGUGGGGACGCGUGGCUAAGAGCUCCGGAGUCAGGAAGACCAGCAAAGAAUUUUCACAUCUGCGGACCUCAGUUUCUCAUCUGCAAAUGAGGGUCAUACCUACUGCCUCCUGGGUUGUCCUGGGGAUGAAAUGACAUAAUAGGAAGGAAGGACGGAGCAUGUGCUGAUGCAUAAUAGGUCCUCACUGGCUCUGUGUUCUCCUUGUCUAUUCACUGGGCUCCAAAAUGAGGGAUCUGAGGUUGCCUGUGCUGAGGGUGUGGGCUCCUUCCUCCCACGGUCCCAGAAGAAAAGCUGCUGCCAGAGGCCCCCACACCAGGCAUGGUGCCAUGCAGCUGGGCAGCCUGUAUGCCAGGCAUAGGAGUCUUUCCAGGUAGAAAGGUUUCUGCUCCCCAUCAUGGUCUCUGGGCACAGCGGGCCCUGGACGUCCAGAUGCAGACCAUCCUCGCGCCCAGUCCAGCCCUAGGCAGGGCCAGUCCCUGGGCUCAGCUGGUUUGCCCGGCAGAGUUGUCCUGAACACAGUCGGUCACAGGGCAAUGUUAGUCUCUGGACAUAGAUGGUCCCUGGACACAGUCUUUGAGCACAGUGAGACCACACACAGUCAGUCCCUGGGCACAGAGAUUCUCUGGCGUCAUCGGUCCCUGGGCAAGAGUAGCCCGUGGGGCCAGUCAGCCCUCGGGCAGUCAUGGUCGACCAAGUCCAUCCCAGGGCAAAGAUGAGACCCAGACAGAGAAAGUCCUCCAAGGGUCUCAAAGAGCAGUUGUUCCCCUGAGAUCAGUUGUUUCUGGGCUCAGUUGGUCCUCGGGCACUGUGGGUCCCUUGGCAUUGUCAUUCCGUGGGCAGGGUCUGCCCCCAGAUAUGGCUGCUUCCGGGGCACAGUUGUCCCCACCGCCCUGCCCCACCCCUGGGCACAGCAACCCCGAGGCUUGGACAGCGGUCUGUCUCUGGACACAGAUGUUUCUGGAUUCAGUUGGUCCCUUGGAGACAGUCAGUCUUUGAUCUUAGGACAAACUGGACCCCGACCAGUCCCUUGAGAUCCCCCAUUUGAUUGACAUGCAUAGACCCGUCGCCCCUCUGCUUUGUGGCCCCAUCCCUCCUCUUGGCCUGAAGAUCUGGGACCCACAGAGGGGUAGGAAGGAUCCUCUGGGGCAGCCCGGGUGGCUCAGCAGUUUAGCACCACCUUCGGCCCAGGUUGUGAUCCCAGAGACCCAGGAUCAAGUCCCACGUCGGGCUCCCCGCAUGGAGCCUGCUUCUCCCUCUGCCUGUGUCUCUGCCUCUCUCUGUCUCGCUCUGUGUCUCUCAUGAAUAAAUAAAUAAAGUCUUUUAAAAAAAGGGGGGAGGAUCCUCUGGGGGUCCGAGAGCCCCAGCAUGGACUGCUUUGUGGCAGGUGGAUGAAGCAGGAUGGGAGGAUGGUGAGGAGAGAAGUAGGCCUGGAAAAGCAGAGAACUAGCUCUCUCCAGUAGUUUGCCUCAGUGCGGGGGGGGGGGGGAAGAACACAUGGUAGAACACAUGGUAGAAAAGGCGCUGGCCUGGAGCCGGAGACCCUCCUCUCUCUCCCCUGCUCUCUGUAUCCUCUAGAUACACAGAACGGACGCCACGGGCCUGUGGAAGGAGCAUGGGCUGGCCUGCUACUGAAUGUCCAUAUGACCAUGGGUGUCCCUUCGAGCUCUGAGGAAGCUGUUCCCAGCCGGGUGGCCGUCCCUGUUCACCAACCAGUAUACUCACAGCCUUGGGCAUGGGACUGACCGGGAAGGGGGAGGUGGCCAAUCCAGGGUAUUGCCAGCUCUGGGCAACCCGGGUGCUGGUUUUCUGACUCUCCCUGGGUCCCGCAGCUCCAUCACUACCCAGUCCAGCUGGGAACAGAGCAGCAAGCCUCAGGGUGGGGCUCCAGCCCUCAUGGACGCCGUGACCCCAGGCCCAUUCAGGACUCAUUCUCUCCAGCCCACGUUAUUCUCUGAAGGGGGCCUGGUUUCUGCAGGAUGAUAAUGUGACCUGGCAUCCCAUUAGCCAGCACCUGCCCUUUCUGCCCACCUUCCUCCCCCAGCCCCCACGCACAUCAAUGUUUAAUUGAAUUGCCAGUGUAGUGGUGCAAGUCCCAUCUGUUUCUGGGUGUGGGAAUGAAGCGAGCAACACUCGAGGGUCACCCCUUACAGGGGGCACCACCCACACGCUGAGCCUCGCCAUCCCAGACAAGCCCGUGUUCGGAGACCAUUCUAGAUCAGUGCACUAGGGUUCCCUGGGUUCGUACCCUCAGCAAGAAACUGAGGGCAGAGCCACCUUCCAGAACAGGAAAGGGUGAGGGAAGUGCCUGCAGCAAGACGAUUCGCCAGGGACAGAGAAGGGAGAUGGAUGACGAGGUGCUCUGAUGGAGCUGGCCACCCCAGGGUGCACCGUCUGAGGUCUUCCAGCUGCAGACCCCCCCAGGGGUAAGAUUAAGAACAAUCUACUUACACUUGCCCUCUCAGUGGCGUCUCAACCAAAGCCACUGGACCGGGGAGUCAUGGAGAAGAACCUCCACAGGGAGCCAAAACCCUGAGGCUGAAGAGACAUACAGACGUAAACUAGGUCAAUCCAGUUCAGGCUGGUCCCAACUGGCUGCAACUAGAUCUAACUGAUCCAAGCUGGCUCGACUCAAACCAGACCUGUCGGGGCCAAUUCGAAAUGCGAGGAGCUGGCCAAGACUCAACGAAGUUGAAUCAAACCGGUUGUGACCUGCUCACACCACCCAGAGCCAUGGGAAGGCCAGCAAUUCAACACCUACUUCUUUUGUGCGGCCCUUUACGGGGUGGAGCUUUACGUGUCCCUUCCUCUGAAAACUGCUCAGAUCCUUUUGUGUUCCGGAUGAUUUGUUUUUAUUUUAAUUCCAGGAUAGUUAACAUACAGCGUUAUAAUGAAUGUUUUAAUCCAAGCAUCACAUCACAGUCGGAGGAUGUAACACGUACAUCUCCCCUGCUAUUAAGGUGAUUACUUGGGUAAGCGCAGGAGCUGUCAACAACUUGGGUUCAAGUCCCCACUGCAGUUUGCCGGUUGUAAGAUCUUGAGCAAGUUAUCGACUCCUGCUUCCCCUGUCUCUUGUGUAAAAAAUUCAGCUCAUUAGAGGACUUGCCUCAGAGAGGACAGUUCUGAAAAUUAAGAUGAUAAUAUAUAGGGCUGCUGUGCCUGGCAUGUAAUAACCAUUCAAUACACAGAACUUAUUCGUAUCUUAUUAUUAUUCCUUGGCUCUGACCUCACACAGCACAGCCUCAGAUGACCAAGGUUCAGAGUUCCUACACUGCCACCGCCUCCAUACGUGUGAACUUGGAUAAUUCACCCGAGUUCUCUGGAGCCUCAGUUUCCCUAGUUGAAAAUGGGAACACUAACACCUGCCUCAAGGGUCAUUUUGAGGAUCAAAUAAAAUGAACCAAGCACUUAGCACCAUUAUUUGGAAACACAGGAAACACAGGAAACAUCUAUAUUGGCUAUUACUAUAUUAACGACCAACACGUAAAUAAUGUUAAUUCUGUGCUAAGUGUUCCACGUAUGUUAACUCAAGUAAUCCUUAGAACAACCCUAAGAAGCAGGUACUAGUAUCAUCCCCAAUUUCAGCAGAGGAAACUGAGGCUCUACACUUACCACCGUGCCUCGUGAUUCUGAAAUAUUGUAGGAAGGAAAGGAAAUUGUGUGUUUGUCAAGGCAGAGGGCAGUGGGAGACUGAGCAGAGGACAGGUCUUGGGAGUCAGAUGGCGAUUAAAAAGCAGGCGGGGGGCAGCCCCGGUGGCUCAGCAGUUUAGCACCGCCUUCAGCCUGGGGCGUGAUCCUGAAGACCCAGGAUCGAGUCCCGCAUUGGGCUCCCUGCAUGGAGCCCGCUUCUCCCUCUGCCUGUGUCUCUGCCUCUCUCUCCUUCUGUGUCUCUCAUGAAUAAAUAAUCUUUCAAAAAAUAAAUAAAUCGCCUUUUUAAAAAAUUAAAUAAAUAAAAAAAUAAAAAGUAGGCAGGCUUUGAGGUCAUGUCCCCAGCUCAAGAAGUUUCUGGGCCUCAGUGUCCUCAUCUCUCAGAUGGGAAUAAUAACCCUUAUCUCAGAGACCUGCGAGAAUCAAAUUAGAUGCCAUCUACAGCUUGUGCAUCGUAGGUGCUCAAAAAUGGAAGCUCCCUCUCUUCUUUCCUCCCACAGCAACGUUAGCCAUUCAACAUGGUGCACGUUUUCUCAGUGACAUUUGUCUGGGGUGACCCCCGUAUAGCGCACCAUCUUCACAUGGCAUCUGCCCGCGUGUGGUGUCCCUCUCUAAUGCGGCGUCUGAUCCAAGCUGGCCUGCGUCUUACAGCAACACCAUCUGGAACGCAUGGCUUCCAGGUCACGGCGGCAAGGAGAAAGAGCUGGAAUGUCACUCGCCGGCUCUCAAAUGUCUCACCCCAGAAUGUCACAUACAGCUCACAGACCACUGGCCAGAUUGGGCACAUGGUUCUGUCCGGCCACAAGGAAAUUGGGAAACAGGAGGAUCACACAAAUUCAAUAAGAAUACAUAUCUGUGCCGUGAGAUGAGGCUAUCCAUCCCAGUUGGGCCGCGUCAACCCGAAGAAGCUGACGGCUCUGAGGACGCUACCUCGGUCAAGCCGUAUCUAGGGUGCUACUUCCGGUUCUGGGUGUUGUAUGUUCAGAGACACCCCCCCCCAACUCCAGACACAGGGUGGGGCGGAGAGAGCGGGGAGGAAGGUUUGCCAAAUCAAAGUCAGGGGCUUGAAAUCUAGUCUUGUGAGGAAGAGUUGAAAAGAUGUUUGGCCUGGAAGAGAAGAGGCCUCAGCUAUCUAGUUUCCCAUUCUUUUUUUUUUUUAAGAUUUUAUUUAUUUAUUCAUUAGAGACACAGAGAGAGAGAGACAGAGAGAGAGGCAGAGAUACGGGCUACCCACGGGGAGUCCAAUGCGGGACUCGAUCCCAGGACCCCUGGGUCACAUCCUGAGCCAAAGGCAGACCCUCAACCGCUGAGCCACCCAGACGUCCCUACAGAUGGAGGUUAGAUGGCAGGGGUAGGGAGCACAGCUCAUUCAGACUCUAAGCUUAGUCUCACGAGGAAUCAGGAAGGACGUCAGCCCUCCGAGUCCCUGUUCGGUUAGGCGAGGCUUUGCUACAAGAACAGCACCAAAAUCAAAGCCCAAAAUUCCCAGGGUUUAACGAAUACCAGCUCAUUUCUCGGGGGCAGAGGACGGACUGUCCAGACCUGUUGUCCCCGGACUCCUCCCCACUGCUCUUCUGGUGAGAAGCUGGGCCGUCUGGGUGCCUCCUCCUGCUCUCAGGGACACUUAUGAAGGACACCCAACGUGAAAACAAAUAAAAGUAAAUCACCCCAUCAGAGCUAUAAGUAAUAAUCAAUAAUUCAAAGCCUUGAUAAAGUCUUGCUGGAGAGCGCUUCAGAGGGAAGGCACGGGCUGAGUUUCAUGGUUAAUUCAAUGUCAAUUAGCUGAUUGCUAACUUCCCUCCAGCGAAAUCGCAUGCAGUGCAGGGGAGAGAAAUCAAACGUGCUCUCGCUUUAACAAGCCUGGUGUUUCAAUCAUUCAUCUCUGGCCGCGGGCUCAGAACCAAUGCCAACAGACGUUCCUUCACAGUUUUAUCAACCAUUUCUGCGUGUCACUGUUUUUUUCAGCUGCCCUUAAUUGUCCCGGGACCAUCUCUGGGAACCAGGACUGCUUGAAACCCGAAGUCAAGAGAGCAGCUCUCUGCUUCCUGGAAGGUGUGGGGCCCCACGGCUCCUGAAACUCAGUUUCCCCAGGAUAAUCUCUUCCUCCGAGAGAUACUGUGAUCAGUCAGCGCAACAGCGCAGAGAAAACAGGCCAGAGAGGCUGAGGAACCCGCCCAUGACCAUAAAGAUGCCGCAUCUCCUGGCUCAGCGUCUCUACCUCUCGUGCUGUAAAAGUUGGAGCCGGGCCUUUAAUGGGGCCAUUGCCCUGCCUGGCUCUGUGCACCACACUGCAAAGGCGGGUAGAAAGGCUCCUGACACACAUCCAGCACCUCCUCUUAGAAGGCGGACAUCUAUCUCUCACGCGUGUGUAGCACGUUGGGAUGGUCGGUCUUCUGUGUCAGCUUGACCGGGCUAAGGGAUGCCCAGAGAGCCGGCGAAACAGUAUUUCUAGAUGUGUCUCUGAGGGCAUUCCCAGAAGAAACCAGCAUUUGAAUUGGCAGAGAAAAGAAGAUCACUACUGGGGGCAGUGGGGUUGGGGGGCACCACCUAGCCCCAAGGAGGGUCUGAAAGGAACAAAAAGGCAGAGGAAGGGCAAAUUUGCUCUGGUGAGCUGAGACACCCAUCUUCUCCUGCCCUCAGACAUCUGUGCUUCCGAUGCUCGGGCCUUCAGACUUGGACUGGGACUUGCAUCAUCGGCUCUGCUGCUUCUCAGGCUUCUGGGACUGGACUGGAACGACUCCACAGGUUUCCUGGGCUUCCAGUCUGCAGGUCUUCUCAGCUCCCCUAACUGCGUGAGCCCAGCCUCCUAAUAAAUCUUUUUUUUCCGUACACCUAUGUAUAUAUAUCAUAUUGUUCUCCUUCUCUGGAGAACCCUGGCGGGUACACACGUCCAUACCUUGUGGACUGUGCCCAGUUGUGUAAUGACUACAGAUAUUUUGUCCUGGGCAAGGCUGUCCUGGGCUUCUGUGACCCACAGGCCCUCUGGACCCCCUGUCCUUCCCCAGGGGUGCAAGGAUGACCUUCUCCAAUCUCUCUAACCCGAGCUAUCCUUGUGUUUGGAUCCUAGCUAUACCGCGUACUAGCUGUGGGAUGCUGAAAAGCCGCUGAACCUCUCAGAGCCCCAGAUUCUUCACGUAAAGAGUGAGGAUAACAAUAGUACCGAAAUCAUCCAUUGUUGAGGGCAUUAAAUGAGAUAACUCAUGCAAAGUGCUUAGCGUGGUACCCAGUAACAGAAUCUGUGUUUCAUAAAUAGUAGUGGUUUGUUUUUUUUGUUUUGUUUUGUUUUGUAAAAGUUUCUCUUGGAAAAACUCGAAGCCUUGGAAAAUCCCAGGAGUCCGUCCAUAGCAAAAUUAGUAUGAAAACAGUCAAGGGGACUCUGGGCCCCUGGGACCUCCUGGGCCAGACAGCGUGAGGCUCAGUCAGAGGCUAUGCUCAGGGGUGAGCGCUGGGCCAGGUUCAGGGCCAGUGUGAGGUCAGAGUCCAGGCUCAUUCGGGGUCUCAUCAGUCGCCCACCGCUGACUCAUAACACAGCCUUGCGAAAGCACCUUUCCUAUUGGCCUCAGUUCCCUUGCCCAUAAAAAUGCAACAACAACCCCAGCCAAGCGUGCCUCACGGAGGUGUGAGGAGGGUGCGUGCCAUCCAAUCUUGCGUGUGAGGAGGGCUCGCGUAAACCUCACAAAUUAGCUUCACCGCUCGGUGUUACUUGUAUUUCUCUGGACCCCCGACCCACUGGGCAAGAGAUUUCUCUCCUUGUUUUCAUGCGUCCGGGGUGGAAGCCAUUCCCAGGAUCAGAGC